GAUGAACGCUGGCGGCGUGCCUAAUACAUGCAAGUCGAGCGAACGGACGAGAAGCUUGCUUCUCUGAUGUUAGCGGCGGACGGGUGAGUAACACGUGGAUAACCUACCUAUAAGACUGGGAUAACUUCGGGAAACCGGAGCUAAUACCGGAUGAUAUUUUGAACCGCAUGGUUCAAAAGUGAAAGACGGUCUUGCUGUCACUUAUAGAUGGAUCCGCGCUGCAUUAGCUAGUUGGUAGGGUAACGGCUUACCAAGGCAACGAUGCAUAGCCGGCCUGAGAGGGUGAUCGGCCACACUGGAACUGAGACACGGUCCAGACUCCUACGGGAGGCAGCAGUAGGGAAUCUUCCGCAAUGGGCGAAAGCCUGACGGAGCAACGCCGCGUGAGUGAUGAAGGUCUUCGGAUCGUAAAACUCUGUUAUUAGGGAAGAACAUAUGUGUAAGUAACUGUGCACAUCUUGACGGUACCUAAUCAGAAAGCCACGGCUAACUACGUG
rnacentral:rRNA from 1 species